UUCCCAGANUAGCCGGCGAGCGAAACGGGAACAGCCCAGCGUCGAAUCCUGCGGCCCCUGCGGGUCGCCGGGAAAUGUGACGUUAGGGAGGAGAGUUAUAUAUAUACGCGCGGUCUUAGUCACGGCCGCCUGUCCAAGUUCAUCUUGAACGGGGCCGCUUACCCGCAGAGGGUGCCAGGCCCGUAGAGACGGUGGCCGGCCGCGACGGUCUCUCUCCCGAGAGUCGGGUUGCUUGAGAGUGCAGCCCUAAGAGGGUGGUAAACUCCAUCUAAGGCUAAAUACGRCCACGAGACCGAGUAGCGAACAAGUACCGUA
rnacentral:rRNA from 1 species